rnacentral:rRNA from 1 species
CUUCUUCGGACAAUAGUACGAAGUGCUGCGAUGGUUGUCGUCAGCUCGUGCCGUGAGUGUCGGGUUAAGUCCCGUAACGAGCGCAACCCUUGUCCUUAGUUACCAGCACGUUAUGGUGGGCACUCUAAGGAGACUGCCGGUGACAAACCGGAGGAAGGUGGGGAUGACGUCAAGUCAUCAUGGCCCUUACGGCCUGGGCUACACACGUGCUACAAUGGUCGGUACAAAGGGUUGCCAAGCCGCGAGGUGGAGCUAAUCCCAUAAAACCGAUCGUAGUCCGGAUCGCAGUCUGCAACUCGACUGCGUGAAGUCGGAAUCGCUAGUAAUCGUGAAUCAGAAUGUCACGGUGAAUACGUUCCCGGGCCUU